GUAAACUUCAUAAUUUCAUGUUAUCAGUUGUUGUUUUUUUACUAAGAGUAAAAUAAUGUUUGUUUUUUGUUUUUGUAGAUGUUAAAAGCAAGAGACAUGGGAGAUCAUCAUUCCCUUGAGAUUUUAUAAAUCAAACCAACUUUGGAGUUGUCUGAUUUGGAGAGUCAUUAUUCUUGGUCUGCGCUCUUAGAGGCCACUGAUGAAGAGCAGGCGGUGACUGGGAUGAAUGCUGGUCAGAGAGGAGAAUCUUCUUUCCCCUAAACAGCGGUGGUUUUAAAGGAGGACGCUGCCCUGGAUGAUGUAGAAGAUGUCACAUGCUGUGCUGAUGGGGCUUCUUCAUGACUACAUCAGUUAUGCUAAAGAGAUCAUGAAAAUUGACCGUGAUGCAUGAUCUGUAUUAAUGGACUAUGAAACAAACUGUAAGUGUAUAAUUUGUUAAAAAAAAAAAAAAAGUUAAAUGCUUUUUCUGUGUUGUUUAGUAGAAGAGUUUACACUCUGUCAUUCAUACACCUGCUCACAUUCUUUCACACACACACACGCGUCUGUUAAAUGUUAUAAUAUCAAAGUUAAUGUUGUGAUUUAUUUGUGUACUGUCAUGCCAGAAUAGUUGGAAAAAAAACUAACUAAUUGUAAAUUUAUUGUAUGUGUUUUCGUAUAUUUUUAUACAAUAUAUACAAUUGAACAAAGUCCAAUUUGAUCUUAAGUUAUAUUCAUCAAAUGUUCAAUGCUUUAUGAACUCUGUAGCUGUUAAUGCCAUCCUUUUCUGCAUUUCUUCUAACAUGUUACUUUUUGACUUUUCUCUUGUUUUUAAUAAAUAUUUUCCUUUUGGUAAUUA